rnacentral:rRNA from 1 species
AGUAAUACAUCGGAACGUGCCCGAGAGUGGGGGAUAACGAAGCGAAAGCUUUGCUAAUACCGCAUACGAUCUCAGGAUGAAAGCAGGGGACCGCAAGGCCUUGCGCUCACGGAGCGGCCGAUGGCAGAUUAGGUAGUUGGUGGGAUAAAAGCUUACCAAGCCGACGAUCUGUAGCUGGUCUGAGAGGACGACCAGCCACACUGGGACUGAGACACGGCCCAGACUCCUACGGGAGGCAGCAGUGGGGAAUUUUGGACAAUGGGCGCAAGCCUGAUCCAGCCAUGCCGCGUGCAGGAUGAAGGCCUUCGGGUUGUAAACUGCUUUUGUACGGAACGAAAAGACUCUGGUUAAUACCUGGGGUCCAUGACGGUACCGUAAGAAUAAGCACCGGCUAACUACGUGCCAGCAGCCGCGGUAAUACGUAGGGUGCGAGCGUUAAUCGGAAUUACUGGGCGUAAAGCGUGCGCAGGCGGUUAUGUAAGACAGAUGUGAAAUCCCCGGGCUCAACCUGGGAACUGCAUUUGUGACUGCGUAGCUAGAGUACGGCAGAGGGGGAUGGAAUUCCGCGUGUAGCAGUGAAAUGCGUAGAUAU